rnacentral:misc_RNA from 1 species
AAGACUAUAGACCUGCGGAGUACCUGCGGAAGGAUCAUUAAUGAGUGUUAACCCCCCGUAAAAAAGGGAGGUACCUCCUGUCCUUUGCAGGCCCUUUUUAGGGGCUUUUUUGACUUUCUGCUUCGGCGGGGUUAUCCUGCCGGAACAACUUCAAAACUCCGAUUAAAAAACUGUUCUGUCCGAGUAUCUUUUAUAAUAUGAAAAAAAAAACUUUCAGCAAUGGAUCUCUAGAUCGGAAGA